UCCACAGGAUCAUGCAAGAGAUCUUUAUCACUUCACAUCAGGGCACAGCUAGCCUGAAGUGAGUUUCAGCCUGAGGUGCCAGGAGCACGUGCCAAGUUACUGCUUACUGAUGCUGUGGACCAGAAGUCCCCACCAAAGAAAAGCGUCACUAAGCUCACAGAUUAAUGCUAAAUGCUUAUUUGGCACCAGGUCAUGUUUCUCUGUGUGGAAGAGGGUGGCUGGGGUUAUGUUUGAUCUUUUAGAAGUCCAAUAUGGGCAGAGGGAGAUCUCUUCUCAGUCAGUCACAACAGCAGCUGCUGGAGAGAAUCAGGUGAAAUAAAAUGUGCCAAAACUCCCAACCUGACAACUAUGAAAUACAUCCUCCUACAACUCGAAGUGUGACCCAAGCCUCUCUGAUACCACUGGGCAGACCAGAUGGUGAGGCAGAGCCCUUCUACGAGACAUGAACGUCACGGAAACAGCCAGUAAAUUCAGUGGAGAGUUAGAUCAGUACUUGCCUGAACUGGAGUUUUUCUGGAAACAGCUCAGAAAAAGAUUAAUCUGAUUCUCAGGAAGUCAGGAAGACAUGCUGUCCCUAAGGAGAAGAUGUCACAUGCUGCAGCGCUUUCUCUGCCCUCUCAGAGGCCCCGGGAGCCUCACCAGCAGUCACAGGGAAGACUGCAUUCUCAAAUGUUUUCCCAGCAUUGUGAAGACUUAUCGGUGCUCGAAUUGUGUACCACUUAAACCAGGAUUUUGUUACGUAGAGCUUCCCAGUCUGGUGUUACCAAUGGAAAUAAAACCCUCAUCUCACCCUCUCUUCUCUGCUCUGCAUAUCAAACCCAAAAAAAGGCCUGGGAAAAGACUACUCUUUGGAAGACCUGAUCUUUUGAAGAUACUGUGGGGAACACUGUGGGGAUGUUGUGUGCCAGAGACUGAGAUUCUGCAGACCAUUACCUCAAGCCUGGGAGAAAGACAGUGAUCCAGAAUGUCCAGACCAGGCAGAGUGGUACCACACUGUUAUUGCUGUAGCUGCAGGGCAUGCCCAGGUCUUUGAAAAGACCCAGCAGGGAAUGGUCCCACCUGGAGACAACACAGCAGGCAGACACUCCACCAAAGAGCGCCUUCCUCCUUUUUGCCAGAGCCUGGGCAUCCUGUUACAGAGCCUACCCUCAGCAAACCCUGAGCAUGACUUCCUUGCCCUUGUCACAGCCUGCUCCCAUCACCACCACCCUAAUUUGAUUUAAAAAUCCCCAGCAGACAUGGGCACACACAGACAAUGAGGGAGAAGUCAUGGCACUGCUCAUGCCAAGCCAGACAUGCACUGGAACACCGGACUCCUUUUCUGCCUUCUGAAAGAGCUGUACAACAGGCAGACCCAGGAUGCUUCUGGAGGCAAGGGGUGCAAGUGGUGCCACAACACACCAAGUUCCUGCUCAGAUGGAGCCUUUCAUUUUAACUGAUGCAGUCUCAAAAAUAUUCCAUUUUCUGAGAAACUUCCAUAAUGUCCUUUCUUGGAGGAACACAGUAAUUAGUCCACAUAAAGCAGAGCUGUCCGACUGGUGCCCACGAACAGAAGCAUCAGCUCUAAUGAACCACGUUAUUUUUUCAGCUCUAUUACGUUCUGCAUGCCUGUUACUGGCAUCACGUGUUUAAGUGAUUCAAAUUUAAAGACUUUUAAGCUAUUAUAGGGAACUGGAGUCUGACCACUCUUGUAAUAUCUGAUUCACAGUUAGCAAUACAUUCUGUUUUUCCUGGAUCCCAUUCUCACCCUGGGAAAACACCAGGAACAGAUGGUUUACUAUCCAAAUUUUAUAAUGGUGGUUCAAAGAGGGCUAGGCACCCCUGCAUUCUGCAAACAUGAUCAUCUCCCACUAGCCACAGCCAACUGUGUCAAUUAGGUUAGCAGUAAGUAUGGGGAGAAAAGCCUAAGGCAGUACAGUUCUAUGAACAUACUGUGCAACAUUGUCUUGCACAGUAUUUAAGAUUACAGCUAGAGAGCUGACACAGAUGAGACUUCCAUGUCUAGAGAAGAGACUUUAACAUUCGUGCUGGGUUAUUCAUCAGUACCACAGGCUAGCAAAAUAAAUCUCUAGUGUCAUUUUACCUUGCAGGUGUGGAAGGCUCUUACAGCAGUUUUUGGUGAGGAGUACUUUAUGUGGAGUGCAUUUUUUUGUUGAUGCUGAUCCUUUAAAAGAGAGGCAAAAGUAAUGGGAAGGUUUUACCUGCUUAAUGGUCUUUGGGCAACUGAAAAGGUACCUUUGGACACCUUGCUUUUGUCCAGUGAAAGUUAAACAUUAUAUAUCUGCUCUUUCUUUCGAGCCAGACAGUGUGAGAGAGAUUCUAGUCAAGAUUUGCAAAGCUCAAAUUGAUACAGAAAAUUAAGACCCCAUCUUCUAUAAUUACACCUGAAGUGCAAAUCAACAAGAAGGUCUGUUUUUGUUUUAUGAUUUCUAUGUAUGUUUGAUUUCUAGCUGUAUUUUUUAAGUUCAUCAAGAGCUGUACUUCAGCAGACAUCAACAAUCAAAAGAAGAGGCAGUUGAAUAGUUUUCUUUCUUGCUUAUCUAAAGUGAAAAGUCUAAUGAGUACAGCAAACUCUUUCUUUCAGGUGAAAUAUUUCUAUAGCUUCCUCUUGAUAUCUGGAAAUAUGAAAAGCUGUUACAAUCAGCAUAAUGACUCAUUUAAUAGCUCAAACAGAUCUGCUCAGAAAUCACUACAACUCAUGAAAUAUAAGGAAUAGAUUCUGUUCCAUUAGUCUGUAGGAAUAGUGGCAUGGAGGAAAAGAUUUAAUGUCAAAUAAAUGCUAUUAGCUAAGAGUAUCCAUGAUAUCUGAAGCUUAUACAGCUGGAUAAUGAAGUUUAAAUUUGGAAUUUGGAGACAAGUAAUGUAAUGUGCUCUAGGUUGCAAACAGUAUUUGUUAUACAACAUUUACACUGCAUUUUUAAACUAAGUCACAGGUGUUAGUAGCUAUAAAAUGUCCUCUGUCGGGUUAAUGAUUCAAGAGUAAAAGACUUUUUUCAGAGUCAGAAUUGAAACAGUGACACUGUUUCACUUUUAGGACACUAAGCCCAGGACUUGAUCAGUUGACUUCAUUUACAUGUAAUACAUCUUAGUUUAAUAUGUAUUGAAUUUUAAUAUGACAGAGAACUUGACUUAUGGAAUCUGAAGAGAAUUGAAGUGCAUUUGCUGCUUGUACAAUGACAGCCAGCAUUUCACUUCCUGGAAAAAUCUGCAAUCACUCAAGGUCUGCUGAGAAUUGAGACUAAUUGUGGUGACAAGGCAUCAUCUAGUUUGGCACUUCCACAGCAACUAAAGUUCUGCUCUUCUUUCUAGAGAUCUAAAGACUUUAAGAAAGCUUUUGGAAAAAUCCACAGGUCUGCCUCAUAUGUUUGAUUCCUCAGGAAGGCAGUUUUCAUUGACGAAAGAAGUUUGGAAAGGAAGGAAAAUAAAAUUAAUUCAUGCCUUAGCACAGCCAAUGUUGUUCAAAGAAAUUCAAAGUGUGAGGAUUAAAUCAUUGGGAAGGAACAAGAUAUAAAGCCUCUAUCAAAAAUAAUGUUUGUCUUUUUAUUUUUUUACUGUAUAAUUUUGUCAAAAGCCCCAGGAAAUUUUCAUUCUUAAAUGUUCUGGGGUGAAAAAUUACUAGUUCUCAACAAAAAGAGAACACAUGAUUUAGAAUAUCAACCUGCUUGCUCUUUUGAGGAAUCAACCAAAGUUUCACUCUCCUUUCUGGUACUGUGAGUACCUUUGUCUCGUACCAACGCACUUGUAAAAGAAUGCAUUGUUAGCCCAAGGUGUUAUAGAACACCUUGGCAAAAUCAGGCUGUGGGACUACAGACUGCUCUCAGUGAUGAACACACUAACAGGUUCCCAUGCAGGAUCCUUUCUUUAUAUUUCUGGACAUGUUGCUUGCUGCUUCAAGUCUUUCUUUGGCUCCCAGCUCUCAGUACGGUACCCGUCUUCAGCUCUUGUCUUGUGGCUUCUGAGGAGUAAUACUCUGAGCUGUAAAAACUUCUUUUCUUUCACUUUUGAUAGAUGGAUAAAGUGAUGCCAUCAGCAGCUGCGGUCUCCAAGGGCACCUUGGGGGUGAGUCUCAAGACACAAUGCAGCUGCACAUCAGGCUGGGAUACACUGGAGCUCUAAAGACUCUCUGUCUUGCUUCAGGGUACAAGUGCACGAGUGAGGAGAUACUAAAACACAAUAAGAAACAAUUUAGGUGAGUCCUAAAUGCAUACUGAUUUUUAAGAACAGUAUUUUAAGCUUCAGGUGCCCAAAAAUAAUAUUGUCCUUUUAAAAAAGCUUUCCUAAAGGUUUGCCCCGAUCAGUAAUUGUGUUUUGUGACUUAAACAAGAGAAAUGCAUACAUGUCCUUGCCAAAUUACUUAAUUCACUAUAUCCUCAUUCAUAUAGCACAGGAGGUCCUAGGAACCAUAUCCUGUUUUCCUUCCAAAAGGCAGCAUUCUCCCAACAUCCAUACCAGGCACUGUGGAUGUACCUGAAGUUACCAAUUCAGCUAGCAAAUAAUUGGGAAGGUCCUGGAAAAGGAUGAAGAGGAGAGGAGUACAAGCUAUACAAGUCAUUGUGUCAGGUCAAGUCAUCUCAUCUGUUCAGUGUUGGUGCUUGACCUCUGAAAGCACUGGAAGCUCCUGCAAAAAUGUACCAGAAUAAACUGAUUUUGUAAAAGCAUGGAGAGGGAAAAGUGGGGUACGUUAAUAAAUCUGCCAUCAAAUGUAGUCAAAAGAAGUAGGCAAUCUAAAUUCACCAAUAUCAACUUAAAAUGACUGUAUAUCAGUUCUUUCCAGGGUGUGUCAGCUUCAUAUAAAGAAUUUCCUAACUUUUUUGUAGGGAUUAUCACAAAUCAAGUUACAGGAAGAUAUCUGGCAAAACCUACAACUAAAGGAAGUGUUACUAAAGCUGAAAACACACAGAAAAGUUAUUUAAACCCCAGGCCACAUUAAACUGACUGAAAAAUAAUGAAAAGGAUAUUAUUAUUCAGAACUAGCAGCUAAUUGCUUGAUGAAAAUCAGAUGGUUUACAUACUGUGAUAAUUUCUGAGAGCAUAGCCUAUUUUAUUCUGUUCAAAUGGCCUUUGGAAGAAAAGUGGUCUGGUUUUGUUCUGUACUGGCCCAUUUAUGGCAAUAUGCUAUUUCAAUAAUAGCUCUAGCAGAUCAGCAGAUGCAGCGAAGCAAUGCAGGCUCUAAGGCUGUCAAAAACCCUUCAAAUAGCCUGACAAUUCAGGGAGCAGAUGUCAUUCUGGCACUUACUGUCUCUUACUCCAAGAAUACAAUUUGUGAUUCAGGAAGUAAGAUAUUCCCUCUAUGACAGUGGACAAUUUUCUUAACGGUGAACAAAGAACCUUUCAAAACUGAUUUUUCUUUAUGUCAGACUUUGCCAGACACAAGAAAAUAACAGAACACAUUAAUUCUGUGCACCAGAAAUGUGAAUUAGAAACUCAAGAGUGGAAAAUGCAGUGUUAUGCAGAUGAGGGCAGGACUUUUCUACCAACACGUGCCUUUACUGUGAAGGAGGUAAGGAAAUUUUCCUUUACUCUGCCAGAUAAAACAGCAACCUCAUGCUCUGCAAAGAUUUUCCAGACUACAAAUCACUUUAGAAACUUGGCCAGGACUUGAACCAGCUCCAGAAACCAGCCCCUUGUAUUUCUCAGGAACACCCACCUCUCCUGCAACCGGAUGAGUCAGACAGCAUCCAGGAGCUUCAUUCCAGGAAUCUGGCCCACUCAGAAACCCAGGAAAGAAGCACUGUGAGCUGACAUUUCUUGAUAAAAGGGAAAGCACAGUGAGCAAACACUCUGGACAAAGUCUACCCUGAACAUUGAACAAAAGGCCCUAAAAUUGCCAUGGCCUCCUCUUCAACUGUUUUCCUUAAUGAAUUAUGCAG
rnacentral:lncRNA from 1 species